GACGAACGCUGGCAGCGUGCUUAACACAUGCAAGUCGAACGGUAAGGCCCUUUCGGGGGUACACGAGUGGCGAACGGGUGAGUAACACGUGGGUGAUCUGCCCUGCACUUUGGGAUAAGCCUGGGAAACUGGGUCUAAUACCGGAUAGGACUACGCGAUGCAUGUCGUGUGGUGGAAAGCUUUUGCGGUGUGGGAUGGGCCCGCGGCCUAUCAGCUUGUUGGUGGGGUGAUGGCCUACCAAGGCGACGACGGGUAGCCGGCCUGAGAGGGUGUCCGGCCACACUGGGACUGAGAUACGGCCCAGACUCCUACGGGAGGCAGCAGUGGGGAAUAUUGCACAAUGGGCGCAAGCCUGAUGCAGCGACGCCGCGUGGGGGAUGACGGCCUUCGGGUUGUAAACCCCUUUCAGCACAGACGAAGCGUAAGUGACGGUAUGUGCAGAAGAAGCACCGGCCAACUACGUG
rnacentral:rRNA from 1 species